ACCUUGCACACUUGGUUCAGUGAAUAUGCUUGGUCAAUAUGAAAGUUUUGGAGUCUGAACAUGCAGUCUGAAUAAUGUCUUUAAUUAGAGACACCAGAGCAAAUUUUCACAUUGUACUUUUUAUUGGCAUUUCAGGAGCGACACACUAGGAUGACUAAAGGACGUAACACUUCUGGACGGGAAUUACAUGUUCAAGAAUUGUUUUGAAAUGUACAAGGAAGAUAUUGGCAUUCUCCUUGCGCCAUCAGCUGUUCAACAUCUGCGAGCUGCAAAGGCUCUCCUGUAUGACAAGGAAGCAGUAGACGCGGCAUUCGCAAUGCUCAUUUUAUGUGCUUCCAAGAGAUGCGGCCAAAGGACGACCUGCAGAUGUGCGAGUCACGUUUAUGGGAGCUGCAAAAAAGAAUUAAAGUGUAUCCCCAGUGUUUGUUAUAUACUCUUAUUAUACUCUAACAGUAUAUUUCUGAACAAACCAUCUGAAACAUAGCGGAUCGGUGGCACUGCAGAAAGCCAAUGAAUGCUUGUCAAAGCGUGGAAAUACACAAAGCAGCAUACAAACUUGCCACUCAUGUAGCCGUUGCAUCUUUCCCUUGCCCCAAGGAAGCACGCAGCGCAGUGAAGUGGACUUACGAGCUGCCGUCCAAGGACACUGCACAUGCUCAACGUAAAUUUUUCUCGCUUAAAACAAAAAUCACUAUAAUUAAACUUUCAGAAUCGA
rnacentral:lncRNA from 1 species